UACAGAGGGUGCGAGCGCUAAUCGGAAUUACUGGGCGUAAAGCGUGCGUAGACGGUCAUGUAAGUCGGGUGUGAAAUCCCCGGGCUCAACCCGGGAAUUGCAUUCGAGACUGCAUGGCUAGGGUGCGGAAGAGGGAAGCGGAAUUUCUGGUGUAGCGGUGAAAUGCGUAGAUAUCGGAAGGAACAUCAGUGGCGAAAGCGGCUUCCUGGUCCAGCACCGACGUUCAGGCACGAAAGCGUGGGGAGCAAACAGG
rnacentral:rRNA from 1 species